GGGUGCUUCCUGCUUCUUGAGAAACAAGCUGCCUUUUGGCUGCGACUGUGAUGCCGCUGACUCCCCAAUAGCUGUUUUCCUAGAAGUGAAAGUGGAUUUGCUCUGAGUUCCGUCGUCCCUUGUGACCCAGGGCUCACUGAGGAAGCAGCGCCAAGGGCACAGGACUGACCACCGAAAGGAGCCCCGCCAACCCGUCCUCAAGGGCACUUGGACUUGAUGCUGGCCUUGAGCCCCAGUGUGCACCCCCCCACUCCCCCGCCAGCCUGCAUCCAUGGAGUCUGAGCAGGGCCCACAGCUGUUGUGCCUCAGCAUGGAGCCAAGAGCUGAAAACAAAACAAAACCUCUGGAGGAAGAAGACAUGUUCUCUGGAUGCGGAAUGGGAGACCUUGGGGAGGUAUGCGUGUGCGGGGGAGGCCUCUGACUUGGGCCCAGGCAAAGGUCACGGUCAAUGGGAAAGCCCUGGAUGGGAGAGAGUCUAAGAUGGAGCCCAAGAAUGCCAUCAAGCAGCUGCCCAGGAUGGACGGGGACCCUCCGCCAGACGGGGCCAGUUCUCCUGAUGUAAGGCUAACAGGCUGACGUCCUGGGAUGCCGAGCUCCCAGGGAGCGGACCGUGAUGCCCGAGGGAGCUCCAGUCGCCGGUGUCCUGUGUGGUCUCGCUGAGGGAAGCCAGGCAAAAAUCUGGCAACUGAGCUGUAACGGCCAGGCUCUUGGCUCCGAGCAACAGGAAGCAAUUCUGGUUUAUUUCAGCAGAAAAGGACUUUAUCAAAAGGGUCUCGGGGAGGUCACAAAAUAACCAGGAGGGCUGGAGGACUGGGUUUGGAAAGCGAGCCAAGCAAAGGAGGCUGCGCCGCCGUCAGGACCACGGCCAAAGUCAGGCCACUCCAGUGAGAGCCCCACCGCCAAGUCCAGGACCCCUCGGCUUACGCUGCCACCUCUGGACAUGGAUGUGGUCCCUGCCAGCCCAGGAAUGGAAUGUCAUUGCCGUGGUGACUGCCGCCCUCCACCAGAACGGACCUCUGUGCGCCCUGCAUCUCUGCAUCACCAGCUCCUGACUCUGAGUCUUUGAUGGGGCAUCUGAUUGGCUGAGUGUGAGUCAGGAGCCCACGCGAACUGCAGUGGCGGCCGGGAAAGUGACAAGGUGGCAUUUUUCGAAUCUCUGGUGGGAGGCAACUAGGAUGAUGGGGGAUUUUUCAAAUAUGGUAAUGGGGUUGGAUGUGGGUCCACCUUAUACUUACCUCGCAUGGAAAAAUGUGGAACAGCUGUCCCUAGAGUGUGCCGGCAAACUGUAGUCCUCCAGGGACAGCCUGAGCCUGUCUUCCUGUCCCCCAGGUGCUGAUGGAAGUGUGUGUGUGCGUGUGUGUGUGUGUGAGCGUGCGCGGGUGUAAAGAUAGGAACAUGUUCCAUUCCAUGACGUGGGGUCAGGAACCCUGGGUUCGAUUCUGAGUCCCCUCUGCCUGUCAACCUUAGACAAGCUGUUCUAAGCCCUGGGUCUCAGUUCCAUGUCACAGCCUGUGGCUCAGCCUUUGAACGUGCAGAUGUGUGGUAGCUUCUGCUGUGGUCUGAGCCACUGGGCUGAAAGAUGCCUCUGCAGCCGCCAAAGCCCCAAAUAGAAUGAGGCCAUUGGUUCCGUGUGACGAAUGAGAGCACAGGUUUUGGAGUCAGAGAAGCGGGGGUUUACUGGCCAUGUGAUCUAGUAACAUCUUCCUUAACUUCUCCGAAACUUAGUUUCCUUACCUGCGAAAUGGAGUUGAGGUGGCGGGCGCCCAGCCUCCAUUCUAAUCUGGUCCUAUGGUGCCUUCAUGUUUGGCAGAGGCUGGGAGCCUAAACACCACAAUUCCCAGACACCUUUGCAGCUGGGGCUGCCCAUGAGAAUUCGGCUCUCAUCUAAUUAGAUUCUCAUCUAGAUUCACGCACGCUAGAGGCACUUGUGUGAGAUUAGGAAGGCAGUAGCGAGGAAGAGACUGCUACUCUGGCUGUUGCUGCUGGAGACACUGAGUGUGUGUGUGUGUGUGUGAGAGAGAGAGACAGUCAGACAGACAGACAGAGACAGAGAGAGAACAUUCUAGUGUUUGAUGGGGGGUUUGAGACGUGUUGUAGUGGCAGUGGCUCCCUGGAUGGCAACUGCACUGCUAUCUUUUUGAAAUCAGCAUCUCUGUGGCUGGCCCUCCCUCCCUCUGAUGACGGCGGAGGUGGCAGCAAUCUUGGCAGCCCAGUUCAGUGGUGUUACGGGAGUCUAGAGCCUGCUCCUCUGGCCCUGCCGAUGAUGUAAGCACCUAACUUCUUAUAUUAAAUCUCGUCUGGCUUAAAAUAGCUGGAGAGGUUUUCCGUUUCCUGCUGCUGAACCCUAACUGCUAUAGGAAUCACACUCCCCUGCUCACACAGUUGCUGGAAUGAGGCGAGAUGGCGGGUACUGUAAAGCCCUUUACACCUGUUAGAUGUUUUUCAAGGAAGGGUGUCCCUUUCGUCUGGGGAGACUAAAGCCGAGAGAAACCCUUGUGAUGAGUCACUCCAAAGCCUAUAGGCCCCCAGUCGGUUCUUUUGCCUUGAACUGCUGGGCAGAAGACAGCUUGAAAGAAUUCAGGUAAUUUGAGUGGGUCACCUGCUCGGAGAGGCCAAAAAGGUUCUCCUGUGGAUUCAGGAGGAAUCUUGCCUCUUUGCCCACCGUUAGAGCAAUGACUGGCCCCGCAGUGGUGCCAUGGUGGCUGGGAAAGGUGGCAGGCAUCCGGGUGUGAGCCUGAAAAGUCAGCUACUGUGGGACUCUGUCCUACACGUGCCUGGGUUCCCCAUUGAACCUACUGGUCUGUGUUAAAGCCCACCGCAAUUCCUUACCCCCCCCCCCAGUUAAAUCUUUGGCUUUCCAAAACCUCCCCCCUCCUCCCAUCACGUUUGAAGGCUCUCCCUUCCUGCGGUGAAGGACAUUCUCCGGGCCAUGGCACUGGCCCCUAUUUGCUGCCACAAAAUGAGAGCUCCCUGUGGGGUGAGCGCCCAGGCGGGUGGCCCUGGGGCCAUGAAGCCUCGUAGAAGCUGGGCUGGGCUUGGCUGCCAGAACAAUCCAGGCUCCACUUCAACCCAUCAGGGGGCUUGAGGCUGAGUGGGCAAGAUAAACUGUUUCAGUGGUUUUCAGGAGCCCUAAUCAAUUUCGAGGCAGGGCGAAGCCCUCAGGGACAGAUAAAGCCACCCCUGCGCUCCAAGCCCAGUUGGAGCCGAUGUUUGUGUGGUUUGAACUUUUGUGUGGUUUGGGCGAGUCCACCCGGCUUUGCUGGGGUGGUUUACUCUGUUCCCGAACUGCAGUACAGUGAGGCCAACGGCCCUGGACCCCUGGUGAAAUUAUUAUUAUACGUAUUUUUUAGGGCCGUACCCAUGGCACAUCGAGGUUCCCAGGCUAGGAGUCGGAUUGGAGCUGUUGCUGCCGGCCUACACCACAGCCACAGCAACGCCGAUCCGAGCUGCAUCUGUGACCUACACCACAGCUCAUGGCAACGCCGGAUCAUUAACCCACUGGGCGAGGUCAGGAAUCGAACUUGCAACCUCAUGGAUACUAGUCAGAUUCAUUUCUGCUGAGCCACGACGGGAACUCCCUCACCGGUGAACUUAUGUAGGUGCCCUGUCGUCUGUCGCUAUAGGGUCCUACAGGCUUGGGGAAAAGAGGCUGGGCAUGUCCAGGCCAUACCCCUGGUUCUCGCCGCCAGUGGCCCAGGGUUUUAGAAACACUCUGUUGCCCAAGGCAGGUGAGGCCCUUGCUUUGAGGAGUGGAGCUGCUGCGGGUUUGCCCCUCUGCUCCUGCUUCUAAGCGAGAAAGCCGAAGCCCGCUCUCAGAUUCCACCUUCACCAGGACGCGCUGUCACCGGGGCGGCGCUGAGGAAGCCCAGGACGCUAGGGACACCGCCUGGAGCCUGGGCGCAUAGCACCGGUUUUUGUUGGUGUUUUUUUUUUCUCCCCUUCCAGCUUGAGGUUUCUCAUUUAACCUCUAAGGUGCCAGAAGAUCCGGCAGGCCUUUGGCUGGCCCUGAGAGAGUCUAGGCACCCCAGGACCCACGCGUCAGCAGCGUCCUCCAUGCGCCAAUGUCUGUUGCGCUUGUGUGCGGCAGAGCAAGGCUGCUCAGUGAGGUGGGUGGACCCUGGGCCAGCGGAGACCCAUCCGACAGUGCCCUGUCCCCGGGGAAGCCUGUGUCAGCCCGUGGGGACCACAGCAAAAUAGAAUCAGGAACAGGUGCCGCCUGGGAGGGAAACGCAGGCGCCUGGCAUAUCUCAGUGACCUUCCUGCCUCUAUAGAAGGUGGGGACAGAGAGAGAGGCGAGUGUGGAGGGAGAGAGAGAGAGAGAGGGAAGUGGGAAGAAAUUGGUCACGGAGGAGGCUAUUUUUAUUCUUUGCUACAGCUGCGUGCAUUUCUCUGACCAACUAGGCAGAGAAAAUCAGACAGGCUCCCGCUGAAACAGGCCUUAAACUUGGGGUUGGGGGACAGAGAAGGGAGCGGGAGGUGCGCAGAAAAGGGGCGCAGAGGAGGAAAUCCCUGAGGAUCGAGCAAACCACAGCCUCCGGAAGCUGCCACCGCACAGAACGACCCCUGCCAUUCCCCCUGCCCCAGAGGCCCCAGGUUUCAUCGUGGCUGCCAAAGGUGGGCCAUCUUUUCCCUCCUGGGUGUCACCGUGGGCCUGACCCUGUCAAGACUGGGCAUUUGUUCAUCCCUGUCUUCGGCUCUUGGGUCUUGGAGGAGAGGGCAGGGGGACAGGACCUUUUGGGUGGUGUCAGUUACCCUGGGUAGCCUAGCACCUGGAAAAACUGGCAAAUGUCCCCACUAGGAAAUCAAGCUUAGGUCGGGGUCAGGGCCUUAGAGAUUCUUUUGAGGCCAUGACGCACUAAGCCAGCUGUUCCCAAAGUGUGUUCCAAGGAUCCCUGUGGUACCCCGGACCUUUGCAGAUUGAAUUUUCUGGUGGCAAAAUGCCACGAGGCUGGCGCUUCUUCAUAGACUUCAACCCAAACCGCAUAUCACAACAGAUUGGCUGCCGAAGCAGCUCGGAGAAAGCAGCUGUCUUCUCUGAAGCCAGCUCUUAAAGAGGUUUGCAAAAAAUGGAAAACGUUGUCGCUUUGCUCUGUCAUUUUUGUUUGUUUGUUUUAGAAAAUAGUCUUCUUCCACUAAACGGCGCUGUGAUGUUAACACGUGUAUGAGUUAUCUAUUGCUGUGUAACAAAUGACCCCGAAACUCGGUGGCUGAAAACCACACACAUGCAUUCUCUCUCAGUUUCUGUGGGUUAGGAAGCUGAGAACAGCCAGCUUAACUGGGUGCUUCUGACUCAGGGUGUCUCACGAGGCUGGCAUCACGGCAUGGUCCAGGGCUGCAGCCACCUCAAAGCUCAGCCAAGGAAAGAAAGGCUCCUCCUCUAGGUUCGCCCUCUUGGCUGUUGACGGGCCUCAGUUCCUUGCCUUGUGGCACGGCAGCUGGCUUCCUCUAGAGAGAGGGAAAGAGAGCACCCAAGACAGAAGCCGGAGUCUUUUUAUAAUCGAACUUUGGGCGUGACCAUCCCAUCACUCCUGUCCUAUUAGAAGUAACUCAAGGGAGUUCCUGUGGUGACGCAUCAGAAACGAAUCCGACUAGGAAUUAUGAGGCGGCGGGUUCGAUCCCUGGCCUCACGCAUUGGGUUAAGGAUCUGGCACUGUCAUGAGCUGUGGUGUAGGUCACAGGUGCGGCUUGGAUCUGGCGUGGCUGUGGCUGUGGUGCAGGUUGGCAGCUGUAGCUCCGAUUGGACCCCUAGCCUGGGAACCUUCAUAUGCUGUGGGUGUGGCCCUAAAA
rnacentral:lncRNA from 1 species